rnacentral:rRNA from 1 species
GACGAACGCUGGCGGCGUGCUUAACACAUGCAAGUCGAACGGAAAGGCCCUGCUUUUGUGGGGUGCUCGAGUGGUGAACGGGUGAGUAACACGUGAGUAACCUGCCCUUGACUUUGGGAUAACUUCAGGAAACUGGGGCUAAUACCGGAUAGGAGCUCCUGCUGCAUGGUGGGGGUUGGAAAAUUUCGGCGGUUGGGGAUGGACUCGCGGCUUAUCAGCUUGUUGGUGGGGUAGUGGCUUACCAAGGCUUUGACGGGUAGCCGGCCUGAGAGGGUGACCGGCCACAUUGGGACUGAGAUACGGCCCAGACUCCUACGGGAGGCAGCAGUGGGGAAUAUUGCACAAUGGGCGGAAGCCUGAUGCAGCAACGCCGCGUGCGGGAUGACGGCCUUCGGGUUGUAAACCGCUUUCGCCUGUGACGAAGCGUGAGUGACGGUAAUGGGUAAAGAAGCACCGGCUAACUACGUG